CCUACGGGGUGCUGCAGUGAGGAAUAUUGGUCAAUGGCCGGAAGGCUGAACCAGCCAUGCCGCGUGAAGGUCAGUGCCCUAUGGGCGUUAAACUUCUUUUGUGCGGGAGCAAUAAUGGUCACGUGUGGCCAGACGAGAGUACCGUACGAAUAAGCAUCGGCUAACUCCGUGCCAGCAGCCGCGGUAAUACGGGGGAUGCAAUCGUUAUCCGGAUUUAUUGGGGUUAAAGGGUGCGUAGGCUGUGAGGUAAGUCAGCGGUGAAAUGCCCCCGCUCAACGGGGUGAAGUGCCAUUGAUACUGCCUUGCUGGAAUGCGGAUGCCGUGGGAGGAAUGUGUGGUGUAGCGGUGAAAUGCAUAGAUAUCACACAGAACACCGAUUGCGAAGGCAUCUCACGAAUCCGCGAUUGACGCUGAUGCACGAAAGCAUGGGUAUCAAACAGGAUUAGAUACCCUUGUAGUC
rnacentral:rRNA from 1 species